CAUGUAGGCGGCCAUGUAAGUCGAUUGUGAAAUCCCGAGGCUCAACUUCGGAACUGCAGUCGAUACUGCAUGGCUUGAGGAAGGUAGAGGAGAGUGGAAUUCCCGGUGUAGCGGUGGAAUGCGCAGAUAUCGGGAGGAACACCAAUGGCGAAGGCAGCUCUCUGGGCCUCUCCUGACGCUGAGAUGCGAAAGCGUGGGUAGCGAACA
rnacentral:rRNA from 1 species